GUAGAAACGAAACUUAUGGCUGGUCUGUGUUAACCUUCCAAGAAAUGACGAAGCGAAAGAUGGGAGUGUUGUGGAAAGCGCCAAUUUAAAUGGUGGAGGACUCCGAUUUCAAAUCAACAGGAGCAAGAUGUAGUAGGUGUUUACUGGAGCAGUUCUGCCAUCCUCUGGUCUCAUCUUUCUGUCAAUGGCCAUCAUUCCCCUGUACACUUCUUACUGGACGUUCAGGGUUCCAUCCUCCCAGCUAUUCGGAUUCAUCAACAGGUCAUCUUCUUCUUUCAUGCUGUUUAGCAGUUAUUCUGAGGAACUGUAUUUCUACGCCAGCGUACAGGCGCCAUCUUGCAGUUCUGAAUCCAGCUCUCAGAGGAAGAUGAAGGCACUACUCGACUACCAGUCCUUAAGAUAACACGAUAAUAUUCAGGAUUGUAA